rnacentral:rRNA from 1 species
AUUGAACGCUGGCGGCAGGCUUAACACAUGCAAGUCGAGCGGAGAUGAGGUGCUUGCACCUUAUCUUAGCGGCGGACGGGUGAGUAAUGCUUAGGAAUCUGCCUAUUAGUGGGGGACAACAUUCCGAAAGGAAUGCUAAUACCGCAUACGUCCUACGGGAGAAAGCAGGGGAUCUUCGGACCUUGCGCUAAUAGAUGAGCCUAAGUCGGAUUAGCUAGUUGGUGGGGUAAAGGCCUACCAAGGCGACGAUCUGUAGCGGGUCUGAGAGGAUGAUCCGCCACACUGGGACUGAGACACGGCCCAGUCUCCUACGGGAGGCAGCAGUGGGGAAUAUUGGACAAUGGGCGGAAGCCUGAUCCAGCCAUGCCGCGUGUGUGAAGAAGGCCUUUUGGUUGUAAAGCACUUUAAGCGAGGAGGAGGCUACCUAGAUUAAUACUCUGGGAUAGUGGACGUUACUCGCAGAAUAAGCACCGGCUAACUCUGUGCCAGCAGCCGCCGCCGUA